rnacentral:rRNA from 1 species
UACGUAGGGGGCAAGCGUUGUUCGGAUUUACUGGGCGUAAAGGGUGCGUAGGUGGGCAAGUAAGUCAGUGGUGAAAUCUCCGGGCUUAACCCGGAAACUGCCAUUGAUACUAUUUGUCUUGAAUACUGUGGAGGUCAGCGGAAUAUGUCAUGUAGCGGUGAAAUGCUUAGAUAUGACAUAGAACACCAAUUGCGAAGGCAGCUGGCUACACAAAUAUUGACACUGAGGCACGAAAGCGUGGGGAUCAAACAGG